rnacentral:rRNA from 1 species
GGAGUUAGCCGGUGCUUCUUCUGUGAGUGAUGUCCUUCCUGCCGGUAUAGUAACCCGCAGGCCUUCUUCCUCACUGAAAGUGCUUUACAACCCGAAGGCCUUCUUCACACACGCGGCAUGGCUGGAUCAGGGUUGCCCCCAUUGUCCAAUAUUCCCCACUGCUGCCUCCCGUAGGAGUCUGGGCCGUGUCUCAGUCCCAGUGUGGCUGAUCAUCCUCUCAGACCAGCUACGGAUCGUCGCCUUGGUGAGCCGUUACCUCACCAACCAGCUAAUCCGACAUAGGCUCAUCCGAUAGCGCGAGGCCCGAAGGUCCCCCGNUUUCCCCCGUAGGGCGUAUGCGGUAUUAGCCUGGGUUUCCCCCAGGUUAUCCCCCACUACCGGGCAGAUUCCUAUGCAUUACUCACCCGUCCGCCGCUCGCCACCAGGGAGCAAGCUCCCCGUGCUGCCGCUCGACUUGCAUGUGUUAGGCCUGCCGCCAGCGUUCAAUCUGAGCCAUGAUCAAACUCUGA